CUCAAAAAACAAAUUCUCGUUGUAUCAGAUUCACAUAAUCCGCUAAUUGUGCCAGCAACCUAUAUAUAGAUUUACCGAAUCCCGCGAAAGUGCUGAUUAGUUCACUCGAUUUGGGUUUAUGUAUAUCACAGGUUCGGAUCGGAAGGUUGAACGAGUUUGUGAUUUCCACGUUUUGCAGAUCGCGCAAUUGAAGCAGCUGCUACUUUCAGGUGUUGAAGGCCGUUUUCGAUCAAUAAUUUCGGAUGGUUUAGGGUUUUUUGAUUGCCAAUUAGGGAUUUCUAGGGUUUUUUUUAAUAAUCGAGAUAUUUAGGGUUUUGGAUUUGCGAGAAGCGGAAAGGGUGGUGUGUCAGGGCAAUUGAUUUGAAUUGAUGGUUGAAGGCAGUUUUUGGGGUUGUGUUGAAUCUCGGAAAAAUGCAAAGAAGGGAUUUUUAUUAUGCAUGGGAGGUUUCGGAGGGAAGGUGAGGGGAACUGCAGAAGUCUACAGCGCAGUAUCAGUUGGCAUAUGCACCCAACUGUAAUUGCUGCGGAUUCAAAUUCAUUUUUUAAGGAUGGUCGCAAAAUCAAUGUUGGCGAUUGUGCUCUUUUCAAACCUCCACAGGAUUCUCCGCCUUUUAUUGGUUUAAUUCGUCGCUUGACAUUGAGUAAAGAUAAUAACUUGCGGAUUGGAGUAAAUUGGCUUUAUCGACCUGCUGAGCUAACUCUCGAAAAAGGCCCUCUCUUGGACGGUGCACCAAACGAAAUCUUUUACUCCUUUCAUAAAGACGAAGCUCUUGCUGCCUCUUUACUUCAUCCUUGUAAAGUUGCAUUUCUUCCUCGAGGUGCUGAACUUCCCACAGGGACAUCCUCUUUUGUUUGUCGGCGCGUCUAUGACAUUGAAAACAAGUGUUUAUGGUGGCUAACAGAUCAAGAUUACUUUAAUGAGCAUCAAGAAGAAGUAAACCAGCUUUUAGACAAAACAAAGACAGAAAUGCACGGAACAUUGCAGCCUGGAGGCCGCUCCCCGAAACAAGCUAAUGGCCUGACUUCAGCAUCACAAUUGAAACCUAGUUCAGAGAAUGCUCAGAAUAGUGGAACUUCCUUUCCUUCUCAAACCAAGGGUAAAAAAAGGGAAAGAGGAGAUCAUUCCACUGAUCCUAUUAAACGGGAGCGUUUCUCAAAGACAGAUGAUAGUGGCUCUGGUCCACACAAAAUUGAAAAUAAUGUGAAAUCUGAUAUUGCAAAAAUAUCUGAGAAAGGUGGAGUUGUAGAUUUUGAAGGGGUUGAGAAGCUUUUACAGUUAAUGCAACAUAGAGUGGAGAAGAAAUUGGAUUUAAGUAGCCGUUCUAUGCUUGCUGGUGUAGUAGCUGCAACUGAGAGGAUUGAGUUCCUCAGUCUGUUUGUGCAGCUGAAGGGUUUAUCUGUAUUUGAUGAGUGGCUCCAGGAGAUCCAUAAGGGGAAGGUUGGUGGUGGGAAUAAUUCAAAGGAUGCUGACAAAUCCGUUGAAGAAUUUCUUUUGGUUUUACUUCGCGCACUGGAUAGACUUCCUGUGAACCUUCCUGCACUCCAAACAUGCAACAUUGGUAGAUCUGUGAAUCAUCUACGAUCACAUAAAAACGUAGAAAUUCAAAGAAAGGCUCGAAGUUUAGUUGACACGUGGAAGAAACGUGUUCAAGCGGAAAUGACUAAUAAUGACGCAGAGACUGGUUCCGCCCAAGGUGGACCCGUGUGGUCUUCCAAAUCACGCCUCCCAGAGGCUUCCCAUGCUGGUAGCAGAACACUUAGUGGAUCUGAUGUUGCCGUGAAAAGCUCUAUCACUCAACAUUCUACAUCUAAAACUACUUCAGUAAAGUCCUCACAUGGAGAAAAUAACACAAAGUCUGCAUCUUCUUCUCCUGGUCCAGUAAAACCAUCUUCGCCACCGACAUCUGUUAAGGAGAGCCAACCUGGAGCUUCUGCUGGUGGCAGUGACACUCCUGAAGCCCCUCUGACUAGGGAGGAUAGGAGCAGCAGUUCAAACCAGUCUCAUAUUUACAGUCCGUCAAUUUCAACAAAGGAGGAGGGAAAGAGUUCGGCAUCUGUUUCUGCAUCUGCUAGUAAGAUAUCAAGCAGUAGUUCUCGAAAUCGAAAAGGUGGUUGUUUUCCAGGGGUUAGUGGAGUUCAUAAAGAUAGCAGCUCUAGCAGAAGUUUAUCAUCGAUAAGAAAUUGUACCUCAGAUAAAGUUUCUCAAUCUGGUAUGGCGACUGAAAGGGUUAGUGAUGGACCGUUGCUUGAAGCAGGCAGUCCAAAGCUAAUUGUUAAGAUACCAAACCGGUCACGGAGUCCAAGUCAAGGUGUUAGUGGAGUAUCUCCUGAAGAUCCUUCUGCUCUGAGUAGCCAAUCAUCUCAACCAGUGCUUUUGGACAAACUUGAUCAGGUUGACAAUAACUCAAGAACGAAGAGUGAUGCUCUUCGAUGCAAGGCUAGUCCUGACGAGAAUGCUGAAUCUUGUCGAGUCAAUGAUAUGAAAGGUAUAGUGACUGGAUCUGGGUCGGCUGCUGUUCUUCUCGAAGAAGAAAAAAGUAUGUCAACCGAAGACUCCAGGCAAUCUGCGGAAGGCACAAAAAGGAACCAACUGAAAUGUGGAAAGUCACAUGAAACUACUUUUAGCCCAAUGAAUGCUUUAAUUGAAAGCUGUGUUAAAUAUUCGGAAGUGCACUCUUCAUUGUCCCCUGAGGAUGAUGUAGGGAUGAACUUACUUGCUAGUGUGGCAGCUGGUGAAAUGUCAAGAUCAGAAUUGAUUUCACCUACUGGUUCAACUGAAAGAAGCACACCUGCAACAGGAGUUUGCGUUAGUGAUGAUGCAAAAUCAAAGUUUUCCCCCGAAGAUCAAAUUCGAGGAACUGAAAGUCAGCAGCUUUGUGAUGACGGAGAAGGUGGUCUCAAGAAACAGGUUUUUUUAAAUGGUUCAUGCUUGGAAGGUGGAUUACAUGUGCCUAAACAAGCAUCAUUCUCUCCGGACGUGGAUUGUCGUCCAUCCCAUACUUCUGCAGACAUGGCAGCUGGAGAGAAAAACAAACCCUAUGACAAUGCUAGCACAGAGUCUAGAAGCACUGCUGACCAUAAAUGGGAGCUUAGUAAGAAUUUGACUCAAUUGACUGGUGCCAAUCAGAAGACUGGAGAUGGUGAAGUAAAUGAAGAAUAUCAGGUGGAAAAGACCCCAACAAGUGAUUCUUGCAUGGAUAAUAUUGUCGACUGUAAAAAAAAUGGAACUAAUGUUGCAGGGCCCGAGUACAAAUCUGGUGAUGAUCCCUCAGACACAGCUAAGGGGAUAAUUAUUGCUAAAGAUGCAUCUCUGGACCAAUUGUGUAAUAUCGAGUGCAAGAGUGAUGUGAAGGAUGGAUUGAUGGUGGGUGCUAAUUCCAUGAAGAAAAUCACUGCUACAGUUGUAAAGUCUGAACUCAAAGAUAGAGUUAGUGAUGAGAAGCCACAACAAACCUCAUCACAACCAAUACUUUCUGAAGAUGGUGAUGAAAUGAAAGUUAGAGAAAUUGAUGAAAAGAAUAUCAGGGCUUAUGUGAGUGAGGUUGAAUCCACUAGUGACGGUCUUAAAAGUCAUGAUAUGGAAACAGCUACAGAAAAGAAGGUGAUCAGCGAACCAGUUUCACUGCCUGAGACAGGGUUUCCUGCAUCUGUUGCCAACAAACGGCAUACAAAUGACAACAUUAGAGGAUCACAGCCUCUUGGCGUUAAAGUUGACGAAGUAGAAUCAGCUUCAAAUGUUGCCAAAACGCCCUCUGCUGCAGCAGGAGCAGAUUCAGAUACAAAAGUAAGGUUUGAUUUGAAUGAAGGGUUUACUGUUGAUGAUGGAAAAUUUGGGGAGCCAGGGAUUUUGGCGGCCUCUGUUUCAACAACUGUUCAGAUGUCCAACAGUCUGCAAUUUUCUGUAAAUCCUUUUCCUACCCUCCAUCCUACUUCCAUUACGGUGGCUGCUGCUGCAAAGGGCCCCUUUGUUCCUCCAGAGGACCUAUUGAGAAGUAAAGGGGAAUUGGGUUGGAAGGGAUCUGCUGCUACUAGUGCAUUUCGGCCAGCUGAACCUAGAAAAGUAAUUGAAGCGCCUUUGGCUACAACUAAUUUCUCAUGUGAUGCUUCUACCAGUAAAAAUGGCCGCACUAUGUUGGAUAUAGAUCUCAAUAUAGACCUGAAUGAGCCAGAUGAAAAAGUUCUUGAGGAGACAGCUUCUCGAGAUUGUUAUUUGGUUAAUGAUAGUUCUAUAUUGCUUAAUAAAAGUUCUGGUUUUAUACCGGUUCUUGGCUCUGGUGGGCUGGAUCUUGAUUUGAAUAGAGUUGAUGAAUCCAAUGAGAAUGGACAGUGUUCUACCAGCCGGGGUUAUAAUGAAGAGAGUUCUUUAUUGCAUCUCAAACCCUCGGGAGACUUAAUGCCUGCUGAUGUUCAAAGGGGUUUUGAUCUCAAUGAUCAGCCUGGGCUUGAUGAUGGUGGUGCAGAGCACUUAAGGACCACGCAACAAGUCAAAGUUGCUUUGACAUCCCAGUUGCCUUCUAUUGGUCUUAGAGCAAAUAAUCCAGGACUAGGUGGUUUGUCGUCUUGGUUCCCACCAGCUAGUGCUUAUUCAACUGUGGCGAUUCCAUCAAUUAUACCUGAUCGUGCUGACCAAUCCUUUCCAGGAAUUCCACCUGGAGCAUCACAGAGAAUGUUUAGCCCUGCUAGCAUAUCUCCAUUUACACCUGAUUUUUACCGUGGAUCAAUAUUGUCAUCAUCUCCUGCUGCGUCAUACCCAUCUGGUCCUUUCCAGAUUCCAGUGUUCCCUUAUGGACCCUCUUUUCCUCUUCCAUCUGCCAGUUUUCCAAUCAGUGGAACCUCAUAUGCAGAUGCCUCAUCUGGUACUAGGUUUUAUGCACCACCUGUCAAUUCUCAGAUGUUGGGACCAGUUAGUGCAAUUUCACCCCAAUUUCAGAGACCGUUUAUGGUCAGCCUUCCAGAUAAUAGCAGCAAUAGUGGACUGGAAAACAGCCGAACAUGGGGUAGACAAGGUCUUGACCUCAAUGCUGGCCCUGGAACUGUUGAAGGUGAUGUCAGGGAAGAUAAUUUGCCUCGUUCAUCAAGUCAACACUCAGUUAUCAAUUCACAUGCACAAGCAGAGGAGCAAGCUAGGCUCUAUCCAGCUUCAGGUUUGAAGAGGACGGAACCCGACGGAGGGUGGGAUAAAGAAAACUUCAGAUACAAGCAGUCAUGGCAGUAGGACUGUAAAUUUAUAGGCUACCUGCUCAAUUCAAGUCCUGUUGGAACCCACUUCCAUUUUACUCCUGAUGGGGAAAUAAACUCGUUAGUCUUACACUUUGUCUCUGAAGUCCCACCUCAUCUGAGCAUCAAUGAUAACCUCUCCAAACAGUACUGGGAGGAUAGAGGUCCUAAUCUACCUGUACAUAGUUUGACUCCUGGAGAAGCCUGAGCUUUUGGCGCCAAGAUAUACUGAAGAUUGAUGUGCAUAGUUUCUGGCUAACCGUUCUGAGGAGGCUGGAUCUUGGAUUUUAUACAAGCCCUUGUGAAUUUGAGCUUUUACUGUCAUCAUCCUUUGCACUUUUAUACUUUUAUUCUUAUUUUUUUUAGGACCACAUAUUUAUAAGUAGAUUUAUGUCGAAUUUUGGUGCUGAUGGUUUUUCGUCUCAAGGUUUAGUUGUAAUGGCCUUUGUUGUACUUCA